UGCCAGCCGCCGCGGUAAUACGAGGGGUCCAAGCGUUGUUCGGAAUUACUGGGCGUAAAGCGGGUGUAGGCGGCCAUGCAAGUCGGAUGUGAAAGCCCUGGGCUCAACCCAGGAAGUGCAUCCGAUACUGCAUGGCUUGAGUACUGGAGAGGAAGGUGGAAUUCCUGGUGUAGUGGUGAAAUACGUAGAUAUCAGGAGGAACAUCGGCGGCGAAGGCGGCCUUCUGGCCAUGUACUGACGCUCAGACCCGAAAGCGUGGGGAGCAAACAGGAUUAGAUA
rnacentral:rRNA from 1 species